rnacentral:rRNA from 1 species
UACGGGGGGGGCAAGCGUUGUUCGGAAUUACUGGGCGUAAAGGGCUCGUAGGCGGCCAACUAAGUCAGACGUGAAAUCCCUCGGCUUAACCGGGGAACUGCGUCUGAUACUGGAUGGCUUGAAUCCGGGAGAGGGAUGCGGAAUUCCAGGUGUAGCGGUGAAAUGCGUAGAUAUCUGGAGGAACACCGGUGGCGAAGGCGGCGAUCCUGGACCGGCAUUGAC